rnacentral:rRNA from 1 species
GAUGAACGCUGGCGGCGUGCCUAAUACAUGCAAGUCGAGCGAACGGACGAGAAGCUUGCUUCUCUGAUGUUAGCGGCGGACGGGUGAGUAACACGUGGAUAACCUACCUAUAAGACUGGGAUAACUUCGGGAAACCGGAGCUAAUACCGGAUAAUAUUUUGAACCGCAUGGUUCAAAAGUGAAAGACGGUCUUGCUGUCACUUAUAGAUGGAUCCGCGCUGCAUUAGCUAGUUGGUAAGGUAACGGCUUACCAAGGCAACGAUGCAUAGCCGACCUGAGAGGGUGAUCGGCCACACUGGAACUGAGACACGGUCCAGACUCCUACGGGAGGCAGCAGUAGGGAAUCUUCCGCAAUGGGCGAAAGCCUGACGGAGCAACGCCGCGUGAGUGAUGAAGGUCUUCGGAUCGUAAAACUCUGUUAUUAGGGAAGAACAUAUGUGUAAGUAACUGUGCACAUCUUGACGGUACCUAAUCAGAAAGCCACGGCUAACUACGUGCCAGCAGCCGCGGUAAUACGUAGGUGGCAAGCGUUAUCCGGAAUUAUUGGGCGUAGCGCGCGUAGCGGUUUUUUAAGUCUGAUGUGAAAGCCCACGGCUCAACCGUGGAGGGUCAUUGGAAACUGGAAAACUUGAGUGCAGAAGAGGAAAGUGGAAUUCCAUGUGUAGCGGUGAAAUGCGCAGAGAUAUGGAGGAACACCAGUGGCGAAGGCGACUUUCUGGUCUGUAACUGACGCUGAUGUGCGAAAGCGUGGGGAUCAAACAGGAUUAGAUACCCUGGUAGUCCACGCCGUAAACGAUGAGUGCUAAGUGUUAGGGGGUUUCCGCCCCUUAGUGCUGCAGCUAACGCAUUAAGCACUCCGCCUGGGGAGUACGACCGCAAGGUUGAAACUCAAAGGAAUUGACGGGGACCCGCACAAGCGGUGGAGCAUGUGGUUUAAUUCGAAGCAACGCGAAGAACCUUACCAAAUCUUGACAUCCUUUGACAACUCUAGAGAUAGAGCUUUCCCCUUCGGGGGGCAAAGUGACAGGUGGUGCAUGGUUGUCGUCAGCUCGUGUCGUGGGAUGUUGGGUUAAGUCCCGCAACGAGCGCAACCCUUAAGCUUAGUUGCCAUCAUUAAGUUGGGCACUCUAAGUUGACUGCCGGUGACAAACCGGAGGAAGGUGGGGAUGACGUCAAAUCAUCAUGCCCCUUAUGAUUUGGGCUACACACGUGCUACAAUGGACAAUACAAAGGGCAGCGAAACCGUGAGGUCAAGCAAAUCCCAUAAAGUUGUUCUCAGUUCGGAUUGUAGUCUGCAACUCGACUACAUGAAGCUGGAAUCGCUAGUAAUCGUAGAUCAGCAUGCUACGGUGAAUACGUUCCCGGGUCU